GAUGAAGAACGCAGCGAAAUGCGAUAAGUAAUGCGAAUUGCAGAUUUCAGUGAGUCAUCGAAUCUUUGAACGCACAUUGCGCCCGCCAGUAUUCUGGCGGGCAUGCCUGUUCGAGCGUCAUUUCAACCAUCAAGCCCCCGGGCUUGCGUUGGGGCCCUGCGGCUGCCGCAGGCCCCGAAAAGCAGUGGCGGGCUCGCUGUCACACCGAGCGCAGUAGCGAUUCUCGCUCCGGGCGUCGGCGGCGGGCACCGGCCGUGAAACCCCCCGACAUCCACAAGGUUGACCUCGGAUCAGGUAGGAAUACCCGCUGAACUUAAGCAUAUCAAUAAGCGGAGGA
rnacentral:misc_RNA from 1 species